rnacentral:rRNA from 1 species
UACGUAGGGUCCGAGCGUUGUCCGGAAUUAUUGGGCGUAAAGGGCUCGUAGGCGGUUCGUCACGUCGGGAGUGAAAACUCGGAGCUUAACUCCGAGCCUGCUUCCGAUACGGGCAGACUAGAGGUAGGCAGGGGAGAGCGGAACUCCUGGUGUAGCGGUGGAAUGCGCAGAUAUCAGGAAGAACACCAACGGCGAAGGCAGCUCGCUAGGACGGAACUGACGCUGAGGCGCGAAAGCGUGGGGAGCAAACAGG